rnacentral:rRNA from 1 species
UGGGGAAUUUUGGACAAUGGGCGAAAGCCUGAUCCAGCCAUGCCGCGUGAGUGAAGAAGGCCUUCGGGUUGUAAAGCUCUUUUAGUCGGCAAGAAAAGAUCAUAAUGAACAAUUAUGAUUCAUGACGGUACCGACAGAAAAAGCACAGGCUAACUACGUGCCAGCAGCCGCGGUAAUACGUAGGGAGCGAGCGUUAAUCGGAAUUACUGGGCGUAAAGGGUGCGCAGGCGGUUUUGUAAGUCAGAUGUGAAAUCCCCGGGCUUAACCUGGGAAUUGCGUUUGAAACUGCAAGACUAGAGUGCAGCAGAGGGGAGUGGAAUUCCAUGUGUAGCAGUGAAAUGCGUAGAGAUGUGGAAGAACACCGAUGGCGAAGGCAGCUCCCUGGGUUGACACUGACGCUCAUGCACGAAAGCGUGGGGAGCAAACA